GAAUACUGGACUAGAAGACAAACCAUCAUAUCCAUCAAAAUAAACAGUAAUAUCUAUUAAUUUAUAAUCUACAAAUGUUUAGUAGUGCCUUUAAUUUAUCCAGAGUUAUAAUUAAAAAUUGUUAUGAAAAAAAUGUAGAUGGAAAAUGAGUUGCCACUUAUUUUAGGCCCACACAUACACUUCUUAAAGAGAAAAAUAAUAUUCUAAAAGUUGGAUUCUUUUGUCAUUAUUUGAUUUGCUUUUCUUUGUUCAUAUCAUUUGCUAUAGGCCCUUAUUUUUAGUAAAUUUUCUAAAAGUAAUCAGAUGAAAUAAAAAAAAUCGGCCGAAUCAAUUUGCUACUAUUAUCUACGAUUUUAAGAUAAAUUCAGAUUUUACUUUUCUUUUUUUUUUUUGCCGUCUAUCCAUUUAAACUAUAUCAAGUGGAGAGUAUACGAACCGAUUCCGAAGAGCAUCUCCAUCUGUCCGAAUCUGAUAUAUAUGGGAGAAGAUAAAACUUCUGGUCCUUGCAUCUUUUGCUAAUCCGUCUGCCCGACCAUUUCGACUUCGAGGAAUAUAAGUAGUCUCACAUCUUCGAAGUCUUCCUGUAACCUCUGGAACACCUUGAUCUCUGUCGCGAAAGCUGGCCAAUCCAUCGGGUUUGGAAUCAUAUCCACUAAGUCCAUGCAGUCUAUCUCAAACCGUACUGCAGUGAUCCCUUUGUCUUUCAUACAUGAGGCUGCCUAAAGUAACCCUUCUAUCUCAGCGUGCAAAGCUGAGAGGUUCUUGUUACACGCCCGUAAUCCGAAGUAUUCUAAUCUCAU
rnacentral:lncRNA from 1 species